ACUCCUACGGGAGGCAGCAGUGGGGAAUAUUGCACAAUGGGGGAAACCCUGAUGCAGCCAUGCCGCGUGUGUGAAGAAGGCCUUGGGUUGUAAAGCACUUUCUAGUAGGGAGGAAGGUAGUGUAGUUAACACCUGCAUUAUUUGUACGUUACCUACAGAAGAAGCACCGGCUAACUCCGUGCCAGCAGCCGCGGUAAGUACGGAGGGUGCGAGCGUUAAUCGGAAUUACUGGGCGUAAAGCGCAUGCAGGCGGCCUGUUAAGUCAGAUGUGAAAGCCCGGGGCUUAACCUCGGAAUUGCAUUUGAAACUGGCAGGCUAGAGUCUUGUAGAGGGGUUAGGAAUUUCAGGUGUAGCGGUGAAAUGCGUAGAGAUCUGAAGGAAUACCAGUGGCGAA
rnacentral:rRNA from 1 species